UACGUAGGGGGCAAGCGUUGUCCGGAAUCAUUGGGCGUAAAGCGCGUGUAGGCGGUCCGGUAAGUCCGCUGUGAAAGUCGGGGGCUCAACCCUCGGAUGCCGGUGGAUACUGUCGGGCUCGAGUCCGGUAGGGGAGCAUGGAAUUCCUGGUGUAGCGGUGAAAUGCGCAGAUAUCAGGAGGAACACCAGUGGCGAAGGCGGUGCUCUGGGCCGGAACUGACGCUGAGGAGCGAAAGCGUGGGGAGCAAACAGG
rnacentral:rRNA from 1 species